GACUCUCGGCAACGGAUAUCUCGGCUCUCGCAUCGAUGAAGAACGUAGCGAAAUGCGAUACCUGGUGUGAAUUGCAGAAUCCCGCGAACCAUCGAGUCUUUGAACGCAAGUUGCGCCCGAGGCCACCCGGUCGAGGGCACGCCUGCCUGGGCGUCA
rnacentral:rRNA from 1 species